rnacentral:rRNA from 1 species
UCUGCAACCCGACUCCGUGAAGCCGGAUUCGCUAGUAAUCGCGCAUCAGCCAUGGCGCGGUGAAUAUGUUCCCGGGCCUUGUACACACCGCCCGUCAAGCCAUGGAAGCCGGGGGUGCCUGAAGUGUGCAGCCGCAAGGAGCGCCCUAAGGUAAAACCGGUGGCUGGGGCUAAGUCGUAACAAGGUAGC